AGCGAACGCUGGCGGCAGGCCUAACACAUGCAAGUCGAACGAACUCUUCGGAGUUAGUGGCGGACGGGUGAGUAACACGUGGGAACGUGCCUUUUGGUUCGGAAUAACUCAGGGAAACUUGUGCUAAUACCGAAUGUGCCCUUCGGGGGAAAGAUUUAUCGCCAUUAGAGCGGCCCGCGUCUGAUUAGCUAGUUGGUGAGGUAACGGCUCACCAAGGCGACGAUCAGUAGCUGGUCUGAGAGGAUGACCAGCCACACUGGGACUGAGACACGGCCCAGACUCCUACGGGAGGCAGCAGUGGGGAAUCUUGCGCAAUGGGCGAAAGCCUGACGAAGCCAUGCCGCGUGAAUGAUGAAGGUCUUAGGAUUGUAAAAUUCUUUCACCGGGGACGAUAAUGACGGUACCCGGAGAAGAAGCCCCGGCUAACUUCGUG
rnacentral:rRNA from 1 species